AAUUUCUCUAUCUCCGGGGAGUACAAGUGUCCCUUUUUACUGGCUAAUGAAUCCGGGUGGAAUUAACUUGACAAUGCAGAAUGAUAAACACGUUGUAUCCUUAGCCAGCUAAAUGGCAAAAGCGUAAAAGUGUACAAAUGGCCAUCAGGUGAAAGGGAAGGUGAAACAAUAAAACCUCAUCGUACAGUACUCGUGCUUCUGAAAACUGACAAAUCCGGUCCCGGUUCGAUUGAAAAGCAGCUCAGUUCUCUUUUUCUUUUUCUGAGGAACUUGUUAGCCCUCAAGAAAAAUGAAAACUCACAAAUUGCUUCUUUUUUACAACAAGGGACUUCCUCUGGCUUGAAUAAUCAUAAAGAGGCCAUUUCAAUUCGCAAGGAUGGCCUGGAUGUCAGUCAUUUAAAGCCAUUCUUCUCGAAUCCAUCGAGAACUCGUUCAUUUCGUGGAAUCAUGCUGAAGAAAGAGCGACCUCACUGAUAAUGAGAACAGACAGUUCACCUUGGUAUGACCGGUGUUUAUUUUGAAGAUCUCUCAGCCGUUGAAAGCUUUACCAGUGAGAACAAUCCUGAUAUCAAGUCGAAAUGCAUGGCGAGUGGAUGAGGCGGUUUUAGAAGACUAGAAAAAACCCAGCAAACAAGACUCUGGCUGAACACUGAAGUCAUGUCUCUAAGAAGCUCUAAAUUCACGGUAAAACCCAUAUAAAGUGGAUCAUAUCCAUGUUGGCAGACUAUAGAGUACAUUAGAUUAAAGCAGAACUGCUUCGUUAAAAAAUUACAAUAAUAGGUGUGCUUUUCGAUUGAGUGACGUAAAACCAAAACCAAAAUAAUCCCAUUGGCCAAUCAGGAGAAAGGAAAUACUCUAAACAGCCACUUAAAUCUCAAAGUGUGAGUAGCCAAACUUUCUAAAGCGCGAACGACUAAGUCAUGAUUGGUUUUAAACAUGGAUCUGAUUGGUUGAAAAAAAGUGGCAUGAAUUCUCUGGACCAACCACAGAGCGGAGAAAAGUAAAACCAACGCAAUAUCCGAUUACUUUCGACACAGUUGAAAAUUGCUCGUAUCAUAACCAUUUCAAUGUCCUCAAAUGUGAUUGAUGCAUUAGCUGCUUUGUAUUUCCCUAAUUAUUUUGUAGAGUUAUUGUGAGACAGUGUAAUCGCACAGUUGGCUGUAAUCGGACACCUGCAAUCAGACGGUAAAGGCAGCCAAUUGCAAUAGGUCCACUCAGUAAAAUCCACCAAUCACAGAAUUGACAAAAAAAUCGGGGAAUUUCCAAAAUGGAGGGAUUUUUUACUUUAGACAAUGCCUCUACGGGAGAUAUUUUCUCAAAUAAAUGUAUCUGUUUUUUUUCCGAAAUUGUAAUGGUUAUGAUUGAUUGGUUACAGGACUUAGCGUCUGUUCAAUCAUACUCGUGAUUGACAAUGAUUGAAAUCACUCGUCUGAUUACAGACCAAAUUGGACUCGACUCUGUCCUAUUACCAUUAUUGAUAAGUUAGCAAGUUUUAAAUUAUGCCAUAUGGUAACGUAUGAUCUCAUAACAAUCGGAUGCACUUUUUCAGAUAUUCAAAUAUAAAGUUGUUUUUCUUUCAUUUUGAUCUGUACCUACAGUUCAGCACAACUUUAGGGUCUUCAGUAAAAACAUUUUCUAGAAGAUGAACCUUAAUCUGCUUAAUAUUAAGCAAUAAAAAAACUGGGGUUACCCACCCUCUAGUGUUUGAGUUACAGUAAUAUAGAGCUGACAUCAUGGCUAUAGGAAGCAGUAAUUUUGCCAUCGGAAAAGUCAAUACAUUAUAGAUAUUGAGAAUAAAUGUAAAUUGUAUUUCA